CACGUAGGGGGCGAGCGUUGUCCGGAAUUACUGGGCGUAAAGGGCGUGUAGGCGGCUGGCCAAGUCAGGCGUGAAAUUUUAAGGCUCAACCUUAAGACUGCGUCUGAAACUGGUUAGCUUGAGGGCAGGAGAGGAGAGCGGAAUUCCCAGUGUAGCGGUGAAAUGCGUAGAUAUUGGGAGGAACACCAGUGGCGAAGGCGGCUCUCUGGACUGCACCUGACGCUGAGGCGCGAAAGCGUGGGGAGCAAACAGGAUUAGAUACC
rnacentral:rRNA from 1 species